UAGGGAAUCUUCGGCAAUGGGGGCAACCCUGACCGAGCAACGCCGCGUGAGUGAAGAAGGUUUUCGGAUCGUAAAGCUCUGUUGUAAGUCAAGAACGAGUGUGAGAGUGGAAAGUUCACACUGUGACGGUAGCUUACCAGAAAGGGACGGCUAACUACGUGCCAGCAGCCGCGGUAAUACGUAGGUCCCGAGCGUUGUCCGGAUUUAUUGGGCGUAAGGCGAGCGCAGGCGGUUUGAUAAGUCUGAAGUUAAAGGCUGUGGCUCAACCAUAGUUCGCUUUGGAAACUGUCAAACUUGAGUGCAGAAGGGGAGAGUGGAAUUCCAUGUGUAGCGGUGAAAUGCGUAGAUAUAUGGAGGAACACCGGUGGCGAAAGCGGCUCUCUGGUCUGUAACUGACGCUGAGGCUCGAAAGCGUGGGGAGCGAACAGGAUUAGAUACCCUGGUAGUCCACGCCGUAAACGAUGAGUGCUAGGUGUUGGAUCCUUUCCGGGAUUCAGUGCCGCAGCUAACGCAUUAAGCACUCCGCCUGGGGAGUACGACCGCAAGGUUG
rnacentral:rRNA from 1 species